AAAAAAAAAAAAAAAAGUGCUGGGGCCAGAAGAGCCCAAAGGACAAUGGCUUUUUUUUUUUUUUUUUAAGGACAUUGGCUUUUACUCCACCUGCAGACACCCUCCUUGCCUGCGUCUGUGGGAGUCUGGCCCGGAGAAGACAAGCGGAUGACUGCUGGGACUCACCGGGGACACUCGAAGUUUCUCAUCCACCAGGGCCUCACGAAACACCAAAUGCCCAGCACUCUGUAAUUGCUGCAGGGAGAUCACCAGGGUCCCCAGAAGCCUGAGAGAGUGCAAGAGACCGAACAAUGACCCAGGGAAAUGGCACCAGCCAUCUCAGACCCCUCCUGGACCCCUGACUGCCCCAGGCCCACUCACCUGGGGCUGAACACACGGCUGCAGUUGAACACCUGCACAGACAAACUCUCCCCGGGCAGUGGAGCCCCAUAGUGAGGCCAGCGGAACAACUGGGGUUAGGAAAAACCUUGUGACACCCAAAGCUGGGCUGGUCCUGACCCCAGUCCAGAGCCUAUUCCUAACCCUAAAAUAGAAGCCAAUCCUCCAAACCUGGAGCUACUGCUAGGACUGAGCUCUCAAACCUGGAACUGACCCUCCAAGCUGGGAUGACUCCAAACCAGGGAUGACCUGGAGCUAACUACCAAUCAAGAACUAGUCCCCCUCCGUCUUAGAAAUCACUUGUUCCAAGCUGAUUCUGACUUCUCAAACCUGAGGCCGACUCCACUUCCUAGAACUAUACCUUCCCAGUCCCAGGAAUGAGUCCCUUAUCCCAAGGAUGGACCCGAAACAAGACAGACCAGCUUUCCCCACUUAGAAACCAACUAUACUGACCUCGCCAACAUCUGUUUCUCGACCACAGUGAAUUUUCCUUGUUUUCUGGGUAAAGCCUGUUCAGAACUGAAACUAAUCAGUUAUCAGCUCCUUGUCACCCAAAAAAUCAUUUGCCUCCCCCGCCGUUGGGGACCAUGCCUAAUCCCUCACAAUUAAAAAAAAAAGUAGAAAAUGAGGGAAAGAAGCAGAGGGUCAGGGUUAUCAGGUAAAAGAGAAAGACAAGCGGCAGAGAUGGCCAGCAAUUGGGUUCGAGGUCUAGAGAAUUGAAAAUCUAGCUCCACAAAUCCUUAGAGGACCCUUGGCAGCCUCACCUCGAAAGCUGAGCUUUACUUGUCUGUCGUGGGUGCCCGGCAGCCCUGUUAGUCUCCGAACACACACAGUCAGAGCCAUGGUCCCAGUGCCACUGGUUUUCCCUCUGCCCGCUUGCCCUCCUGCCCACCUGAGUUGCCUCUGACUCACUGGACUCACUCAGCAGGUUCAGCAGUCCCUGCCCUAUAGUCAAACACAUGGGUGGCAGGACUGGGGGUCAUGAGUGGAGAGGGAGGGAGGACAGAGAGGGAGGGAUAACGUACCUGUGGCCCAACUCAGGCCUCCCAUCAUGAUAGGAUACCUCAGCCUUCAUCCUUCCUCACGGGCUAGGACCUGGGGUAGGGUGGGAAUGAGAGGACAAGACCCCAGUCUGGUAUCUGCUAGCCUAUGAGGCCUCAAGGGCAUAGAGGUCACAUUGUUUCUUGCUCAUUUCUGUCCACAACUCAGGGUGCGGCACAUGGUAAAAGCUCAAAACACUGGAUGGGUAAUUGAGUGGAUUAACAAAUAAAUUUCUUAGCCCGUGCA